GACAAACGCUGGCGGCGUGCCUAACACAUGCAAGUCGAGCGCGAAAGGGACCUUCGGGUCCCCUGAAAGCGGCGAACGGGUGAGUAACACGUGGGCAACCUGCCUCAAGGACUGGGAUAACGUCGGGAAACCGGCGCUGAUAACGGGCGAUGACGUCUCGUAUAAGCGAGCCGUCCAAAUGGUAGUUUCGGCCUCCGCUUUGAGACGGGCCCGCGUCCUAUCAGCUUGGUGGUGAGGUAAUGGCUCACCAAGGCAACGCCGGGUAGCUGGGCUGAGAGGAUGAUCAGCCACACUGGGUCUGAGAUACGGCCCAGACUCCUACGGGAGGCAGCAGUGGGGAAUCUUGCGCAAUGGGCGAAAGCCUGACGCAGCAACGCCGGGUGAGCGAAGAAGGCCUUCGGGUUGUAAAGCUCUGUCAGGGGGAAAGAAGGCACCUGGGUUAAUAGCCCAAGGGCUGACGGUACCCCCAAAGGAAGCCACGGCUAACUACGUGCCAGCAGCCGCGGUAACAC
rnacentral:rRNA from 1 species